AAGCGAUAUUGAAGAACAUAAAAGUAUAGCCAGUUUCCUCCUUUGAUCAGCACAUUCAACUGGUGCAAUACAGGGAUGGAAAGGAAGGCAAGAAAUGGAGGUGGAUGAAUGGACAGGGAAGCCUGCUGCCAUGUCUUGAGGACCCUCCAACAGCUCUGUGGAGAAGCCCACAUGGUGAGAAACUGAGGCCUUCAUGCAACAGCCAUGUGAAAAAGUCUUCAUGGAAGUGGGUCUUCCAGCCCAAUCAGAUCUUCAGAUGACUGCAGCCCCAGCUGACAGUUUCACAGGAAACUAAUGAGAGACCCUGAACCAGAGCCACCUGGGCCCCUGAGUUUCUGGCAGUUACAGUCAGGGCCCUCUGCUGAAAGAAGCAUCAUGGAAACCUGGACACACAUGAGAACCGGCCUUCCACGCAGGCAAGAAGCAGAAACUGAGGCUCCUCCUUCUCCAUCAUGAGGAAUGUCUUCUGGAAGGCCCUCUGUUGACCUCUCUUGAGAGAUGGCUUUGGUCUGGGUCACCCUGGGCCAUCAGUCAUAUUCUAAUAAUUUGAACCUUAAAAAGAAGGGGUUCUGGUUUCUGUUUCCUCUUUUUGUGUCCCAUAUAAAUUUCAGAUGCGGACAGAUGUAUAGGCAUGGGGCCUUGGCUAACUGCACUCACGACUCUUAGCCAAAUUAAUGAAGGAUAAUACUAAAGAGAACAAAACCCCCAGGGUAUUACAUAUGGAUUUCAAAUUCCAGAAUGAGUGCGAGAUAAGGGAAAUGAUGUAGUAUUUAAGACAGAAUCUCAAAUAAGAGCCAACCAAUACUGCCCCAGCCCUUGACCCGAGUUCUAAUUUCUCCUUUUGCACAUGGAAAGGGAGAAAGAAGAGGAGCAUGUGAGUGGUUUGAAGUACCCUGCCAUUCCUUACACAUCUGGGCAAAACUCAUCAUAAUAAGGUAAAUCAGUUAACGUCAAAAUGCAUCAAAGAGAAAAUGCAGCAAUUCCUACUAGAUUCAAUUUUUCAAUUUUCAUAUAAGAAUUAAAGCUAAAUAUUGACAAAGGAAAUUUAUUUCUUGCAAAUAAUUGGGGUUGAAGCUUUUAUAUGGGGUCAAUGAUUCAUAGGUUACAAUAUGGCUGAGUUGGAAGGUAUAUGAUCAUGGAUGUCAACUAUGGAGGAGAAAAUGUUGAUUUGGGAGUUUAUAGUUCCACAGAAGAAACAUGAAAGAAAAAAUAUGUAGCCAGAAAAGGUGACAUUACAAAGGGAUUUUUCCACUGUAGUUCAUGAAAGAUAAUAGACUUGGAAAUACCAGAAAGUUGCUUGUGUCUUUAAACAUUUAGUAAACAUAUAAGAAUGUAAAAUAAUUUUCUUUAAAAAGGUACAUUAAUAAUCUGGGUCAGAAUUAUAAAAAUUAAAAUUAAGAAAAUUUACCCUUUAGAAAGAAGGGGAGUGGUGAAAUGGAAAGUGAAAUAUUAUAUCUUUUGCAAUGGUGCUCUCUAAUUACUAAAAUUAAUUUCUCAGAAGUUGGGAGAUCUGGCAGAAAUCCAUAAAUAUAAACAAUUUUUUGUUUGAAAAGGAAGAAAUGAAAAUUGAGACGGAGGCUGAAGGAGGAGCCCUGAUUCUGUUUUCGGCUAUCCACAGGAUGGGACAUUUUAUGAAAGGAUUCAAAGGAAGCUUUCAAGAAAAGAGUUGCAUUCAAGAGGUAUUGGGGAGCUCAAACAAUUGUUUCGAGGAUUAGAGAGCUGCGCAAGGGAGCCUGGGAAGGUGAGUACAGUUGACCCUUGAACGACAUGUUUUGAACAACGUGAGUGUGAACUCCAUGGGUCCACUUACACAAGGGUUUCGUCAGCCUCUGCCACCCCCGAGACAGCAAGACCAACCUUUCCUCCUCCUCUUCCUUAGCCAUCUCAAUGUGAAGAUGAUGAGG